rnacentral:rRNA from 1 species
UACGGAGGGUGCAAGCGUUAUCCGGAUUCACUGGGUUUAAAGGGUGCGUAGGUGGGUUGGUAAGUCAGUGGUGAAAUCUCCGUGCUUAACAUGGAAACUGCCAUUGAUACUACCGGUCUUGAAUUUUCUGGAGGUCAGCGGAAUAUGUCAUGUAGCGGUGAAAUGCUUAGAGAUCAUGAGGAAGACCAGUGGCGAAGGCGGGUCUCUGGACAGUUCCUGACACUGAGACACGAAGGCCAGGGGAGCAAACGGG